rnacentral:lncRNA from 1 species
CCUAAAUCAAGUUUCUUUCCAAUGGACCUCUUUUGACUUUCCAAAUAGUCAUCCAUCUAUAGCAUUCCUCUGGUGGGACAGGUCCUAAAUAUAUGUUUUACCACCUCUUAGUUAUAGAGGAUUGUCUUGACACAUGGUUCACAUGAUCUCUAUGAUUGGAAUAGGAGAAGGGCAGAAUUCCUUAUGAUUAUCAAAGGAAACCAAACUAAAUAAUAGACUAACAUUUUGAUUAGCAUAAGUUAACUGAAUAACUUAACAAAGCAAACUGAUAACACCAUGCAAAUCCUAGAAAACUUAUAUAAGCAAGAUAAAAACUAUAAGUGAAUUUUAUUUUUACCCAGAGUCCAGUCAGUAGGAGUUACUGUGAUCAAACGAGUAGCUAAAAACCAAACAGAGAAUUAAGAAGCAAGGGGUGGCAAUUCAUUACAGUAUAAGAACUGUCUCAGAUGUUGAAAGAGUUCAUUAGUUCUGCUGGGAAGUUUAUCUUUCACAAUGCAUUGAUCAGCCAGUCCCUCCUGUGUGGCUGAAACAUGGCUGUAGUCUCCUCAAGCUUCGGCCGUGCAUAGACCAGUCAGCUUCCAGAGUGACUGGAACAGGGCUGUUGUCCUUCUGAUCCUCAAGCUUCUCUGGUGCUCCUUUUCUUGUCAGCUUCAAGGGCAUAGCAGCAUCUGGAGAGUACUCCCAGUACGCAGCUGCAGGCAUGAGUCUGGUGUAGUGAAUCGAGGGACCUAUCUCUGCAAACUUGACUGUAGUUGGGGUGGAUAAAAUAACAGUGAAAGGGCCCUUCCAAAGAAGUUUAGGGAUUGAAUAUUUCAUUCUUUGACCCAGACUCAAUCUGAUGUCUUGAAGGAGUGUGCACCUAUAGUCAAAUUUACUGUCAAUCAUUCUCUAACCCAUUGGUUGAGAACCUCUAAAGUUUUCCCUAAGGCCUGAAGCUGUUGUCUCAGGGUUAAUUUUCCUACCUCUCUUAAGUCUCCCUUUAGUCCCCUAAUAAGAGGAGGAACAUCCCAUAUAUUAUCUCAAAAGAAAAGAAUCCAUUCCUCCUAGUGGGAGUGGACCUAAUGUCAACAGUGUAAUAGUGGGAGUAAACCUAAUCCUCAACAGUGUAAUAGGAAGAAAU